CAAGUAACCUAACCAGAAACUUCAUGAAAUUGACGGUGGUAAUCAAACGUAUUUCAAAACCUAUUUUAAAAACCUCACAGAAACUUAACUAUUCUUUUGUGCCUCAAUCUAUUUCAACCUUCUCAACCUAUUUCAACCUUCACACAUCGAUGUUGCAUCACCGUCACACCUCGUCACCGCAUCUUAACCUCCUUACGUUGCAUCUCUACUUCGCUGUCAUCGUAACCUCGUCGUUGUCGUAACCUCGCCUCCUUUGUAAUCUCAUCGCCGUUUUGCAGAUACGGUGUUUUUCUAAAAUUGGAAUCUAUUCUCAAGUUGAAGGAGCCAAAGAGUUCGGACAAUGUCACAUUGCUACUUGUAUAAAGGAGCAUAUUUUGGAAACUCAAGACAAUGCAGAAAUUGACCAUGUCAAAGCCAAUGUUAAGCCAAGUAGAAAAGCACUUCAGUCCUUGGGUUAUGCAGAGUUGACUAUUGAAGAUUUUUUUUACGGGACAAGCCAAACGCUGCUAAUUAGGCCAACUUAACAGAAGAACAAUUCAUUGCUAUGAUAACUGAGAUCAACCUUGUUGGUGAAUCAGAUGGAUGGUGGAUAGACACUAGCGCCUCACGCCAUGUCUGUUAUGAUCGUGCUAUGUUUAAAACAUACACUGCUGCUGAAGAUAAGAAAGUGUUAUUGAGAGAUUCCCACACCACUAAUGUUGCUGGUAUUGGAGAUGUGGAACUAAUAUUCACCUUUAGAAAGACCUUAAUUCUGAAGGAUGUCAUGCAUACCCCUGUAAUAAGGAAGAAUAUGGUUUCUGGGUUUCUUCUCAAUAAGGCAGGGUUUACUAAGUCUAUAGGGGGAUAUUUGUACACCAUUUCUAAAAAUGGUAU